rnacentral:rRNA from 1 species
CUACGGGUCGCUGCAGGCGAGAAAACUUUGCAAUGUGCGAAAGCACGACAAGGUUAAUCCGAGUGGUUUCUGCUAAAGGAACCUUUUGUCGGUCCUAGAAACACCGAUGAAUAAGGGGUGGGCAAGUUCUGGUGUCAGCCGCCGCGGUAAAACCAGCACCUCAAGUGGUCAGGAUGAUUAUUGGGCCUAAAGCAUCCGUAGCCUGCUUUGUUAGUUUUCGGUUAAAUCUGUACGCUCAACGUACAGGCUGCCGGGAAUACUGCAAAGCUAGGGAGUGGGAGAGGUAGACGGUACUCGGUAGGAAGGGGUAAGAUCCUUUGAUCUAUUGAUGACCACCUGUGGCGAAGGCGGUCUACCAGAACACGUCCGACGGUGAGGGAUGAAAGCUGGGGGAGCAAACCGGAUUAGAUACCCGUGUAGUC